GCAGCCGGGAGAAUAGCGGACUCCUGUACCAUCAAUCCGCUACAGUUGGGGUGAUAUCCUGCCCCGGGUCUGAUUCUGCAAGGCAGCCUUCGGCCAAGGGGUGUUGAAGCCUGGGUCUUGCGCAGCGAGGCGCCGUGAACCGUGUCAGGUUGGGAACAAAGCAGCACUAAGCGGAUGUCCUUGGGUGCCGCAAGGGUGCCUGGGCCGAGCCACUUGCCGAAGAAGCGCUUCCAGAUAGGAUUCAAAGCAGGAUGCACG
rnacentral:SRP_RNA from 1 species